CCUUGGGCUAGAGCGGGGGGCAAAGUCCAGGCACCAGUGGCCCUCCCUCUUUUAGGGAGCUUCCAGCACGUGCGCCAGCCUUCCCAAACACAAGAGGCUUACAGCAGUGUUGCAAUAGAUAGUCUUGGCUGACUGAGUCAGACUCUUACUAGACAGAAGACAAAUGGAGAAGGAAAGAAAAGAGAAGAAAUAAGGUUUCAGAUAAAGAUGGAGUCUCUCUUUGACCCGUAUGGUCCAAAGGAAUUGUCUUUGUCCUAAAAGUCAGG